GACGAACGCUGGCGGCGUGCUUAACACAUGCAAGUCGAACGAUGAAGCUGGAGCUUGCUCCGGUGGAUUAGUGGCGAACGGGUGAGUAACACGUGAGCAAUCUGCCCUUGACUCUGGGAUAACUGCGGGAAACUGUAGCUAAUACCGGAUACUUUCACUGGAAGGCCUCUUCUGGUGAAGAAAGAAUUUCGGUCAAGGAUGAGCUCGCGGCCUAUCAGCUUGUUGGUGAGGUAACGGCUCACCAAGGCGACGACGGGUAGCCGGCCUGAGAGGGUGACCGGCCACACUGGGACUGAGACACGGCCCAGACUCCUACGGGAGGCAGCAGUGGGGAAUACUGCACAAUGGGCGCAAGCCUGAUGCAGCAACGCCGCGUGAGGGAUGAAGGCCUUCGGGUUGUAAACCUCUUUUAGCAGGGAAGAAGCGAAAGUGACGGUACCUGCAGAAAAAGCACCGGCUAACUACGUGCCAGCAGCCGCGGUAA
rnacentral:rRNA from 1 species